rnacentral:rRNA from 1 species
CCUACGGGAGGCAGCAGUGGGGAAUAUUGCGCAAUGGGCGAAAGCCUGACGCAGCGACGCCGCGUGAGGGAUGAAGGUCUUCGGAUCGUAAACCUCUGUCAGCAGGGAAGAACGGUCGCUGUGCUAAUCAGCAGUGAAUUGACGGUACCUGCAAAGGAAGCACCGGCUAACUCCGUGCCAGCAGCCGCGGUAAUACGGAGGGUGCGAGCGUUAAUCGGAAUUUCUGGGCGGAAAGCGCUCGUAGGCGGUAUGUCAAGUCAAGGGGGAAAUCCCCGCGCUCAACGUGGGAACUGACUUUGAAACUGGCAAACUGGAGUGUGUGAGAGGAGAGUGGAAUUCCAGGUGUAGGAGUGAAAUCCGUAGAUAUCUGGAGGAACAUCAGUGGCGAAGGCGACUAUCUGGCACAUAACUGACGCUGAGGAGCGAAAGCGUGGGUAGCAAACAGGAUGAGAUACCCUUGUAGUC